rnacentral:sRNA from 1 species
UUUUCUCGUCCGUCCUUACUCUUCCUUGGAGCAUCUACACUAUGAC